GUAGGUUAGGUGAAGUUAUGAUGUUCAAUAGGUUAGGCAUAUUAAAUGCAUUUUUGACUUGUGAUAUUUUCAGUUUAUGAAGGGCUUAUUGGGAUGUAACCUCAAGUAAGUGGAGAAGUAUCUGCAUAGAAGGGAAAAAAGGAGGAAACAAGAAAAGGGUGGAGAACAGGGUGAAUCAAUCAGGAUGGAGGAGGAAAAAAUGCUCUGCCCAUUUCCGGGGCAACAGUAAUACACAUAGUGUAUCUGUGAGCUUUUCUUGUAGUUGUAUUUCCAGAGGUUGCCUCCUUGAAACUUGGUUCCAGCAACUGGGUGGACCCUGAAAAAAGGAUAAAAUUUAUCAUGUUGGCAACAGAAUAUGUCCUGCCGACCUCCAAGUGGCUGGCACAGUACAUCCACCCCGUGACAGGCCCACUGGGACUGUGGUGAACGUGCCUGUACCUCAGUACAAAGUCCCCUUUCCCUGAGAAAUGUACAGAAGGAGAGAUGAAGAGCGCGUAUCCAAAAGGAAGAGGAAGAGGCUGGGUGCCCUGUGCCCCGAGCUCAGAACUUCGGGGGGAUGACCGGCCAGUAAUUAGGCUGCUUUGGAU
rnacentral:lncRNA from 10 species